rnacentral:sRNA from 1 species
AUUAUGGUGUCCAAUCCUUUUACGGUAUUGGUGGAAUUUUUUGCUCAUAUUUUGGUAAGGAUGUUUGCCUCUGUUCAUCUAUGAGAUAUUAGUCUCUAACUUUCUUUUUCUGUGUUAUCUCGGGGUUGAUAUCAGGGUGAUGGUGAACUUGUAAGAUGACUUCUGGGUUUUCCUUCCACUCUAGAGUUUUGGAAGCGUUUCAGAAGUGCAUGUGCCAGCAGUUCUCUGACUGGUUCAUAAAAUUUCCCUGUGAAGCUUUCUGGAGUUUAAGUUUGCCAACUGGAAAUUUUUUCAUCACAGUUUCAAUCUUAGUGCUUGUAAUUGCUCUGUUCAUAUUUUCUGUUUUUUUUUUUUUUUUCUUUU